GGAAACUGAACUCUGUACAAUCCAUACCGGUGAAACAUUGUGCAGAGU
ncrna:unclassified sequences uup RNA